GAUGAACGCUAGCGGCAGGCUUAACACAUGCAAGUCGAGGGGUAUUGGUUUUCGGACCAAGAGACCGGCGCACGGGUGCGUAACGCGUAUGCAAUCUACCUUUUGCAGAGGGAUAGCCCCAGAGAAAUUUGGAUUAAUACCUCAUAGUAUGUGAGGAUGGCAUCAUUUUCACAUUAAAAGUCACAACGGCAAAAGAUGAGCAUGCGUCCCAUUAGCUAGUUGGUAAGGUAACGGCUUACCAAGGCUACGAUGGGUAGGGGUCCUGAGAGGGAGAUCCCCCACACUGGUACUGAGACACGGACCAGACUCCUACGGGAGGCAGCAGUGAGGAAUAUUGGACAAUGGGCGCAAGCCUGAUCCAGCCAUGCCGCGUGCAGGAUGACGGUCCUAUGGAUUGUAAACUGCUUUGUACAGGAAGAAACACUCCCUCGUGAGGGAGCUUGACGGUACUGUAAGAAUAAGGAUCGGGCUAACUCCGUG
rnacentral:rRNA from 1 species